rnacentral:rRNA from 1 species
GACGAACGUUGGCGGCGUGCUUAAUACAUGCAAGUCAACUGAAGCAGUGGUAGCAAUAUCGCUGUGGAGGUGGCGCACGGGUGAGUAACACGUAGGUAAUCUGCCUUCAGGUCUGGCAUAACUCCGGGAAACCGGGGCUAAUAGCAGAUGAUGCAGCGGCUCGACAUCGAGACAGUUGCUAAAGCUAUGGCGCCUGAAGAUGAGCCUGCGUCUGAUUAGCUAGUUGGCGGGGUAACGGCCCACCAAGGCAACGAUCAGUAGCUGGUCUGAGAGGAUGAUCAGCGACACUGGAACUGAGACACGGUCCAGACUCCUACGGGAGGCAGCAGUAAGGAAUAUUGCUCAAUGGGAGAAAUCCUGAAGCAGCAACGCCGCGUGAGGGACGAAGGGCUUUGGCUUGUAAACCUCUGUAGUGAGAGAAAAAAAUCCCAAUCUUUGGGACAUGAUGGUAUCUCAAAAGUAAGCCCCGGCUAACUACGUG